AAGUAUAAACACUCUUUUACUGUGAAACUGCGAAUGGCUCAUUAAAUCAGUUAUCGUUUAUUUGAUAGUACCCUACUACAUGGAUACCUGUGGUAAUUCUAGAGCUAAUACAUGCGCAAAACCCCGACUUCGGAAGGGGUGUAUUUAUUAGAUAAAAAACCAAUGCCCUUCGGGGCUCCUUGGUGAUUCAUAAUAACUUCACGAAUCGCAUGGCCUUGCGCCGGCGAUGGUUCAUUCAAAUUUCUGCCCUAUCAACUUUCGAUGGUAGGAUAGUGGCCUACCAUGGUGGCAACGGGUAACGGGGAAUUAGGGUUCGAUUCCGGAGAGGGAGCCUGAGAAACGGCUACCACAUCCAAGGAAGGCAGCAGGCGCGCAAAUUACCCAAUCCCGAUACGGGGAGGUAGUGACAAUAAAUACUGAUACAGGGCUCUUUUGGGUCUUGUAAUUGGAAUGAGAACAAUCUAAAUCCCUUAACGAGGAACAAUUGGAGGGCAAGUCUGGUGCCAGCAGCCGCGGUAAUUCCAGCUCCAAUAGCGUAUAUUAAAGUUGUUGCAGUUAAAAAGCUCGUAGUUGAACCUUGGGCCCGUCCUGCCGGUCCGCCUCACCGCGAGUACUGGUCCGGAUGGGCCUUUCUUUCUGGGGAAUCCCAUGGCCUUCACUGGCUGUGGCGGGGAACCAGGACUUUUACUGUGAAAAAAUUAGAGUGUUCAAAGCAGGCCUUUGCUCGGAUACAUUAGCAUGGAAUAAUAGAAUAGGACGUGCGGUUCUAUUUUGUUGGUUUCUAGGACCGCCGUAAUGAUUAAUAGGGAUAGUCGGGGGCGUCAGUAUUCAGCUGUCAGAGGUGAAAUUCUUGGAUUUGCUGAAGACUAACUACUGCGAAAGCAUUCGCCAAGGAUGUUUUCAUUAAUCAGGGAACGAAAGUUAGGGGAUCGAAGACGAUUUAAGCAGUAAAUUUAGGCUUCAUCUCCUGCGAGAUGGGCCUAAAUUGGUAUUUGGUCGUCAAAAGUAAGCUCAAAGUGUCUUGCUAGUCUCCCCUCCAGGGGAGGCAACACCGUCAAACUGCGGGAACGUCCUAAAGCCUGAGCUACCAAGCUGCCGCCGAAAGGUGUCAGUGGCCGGGGUAAUGACCCAGGGUAUGGUAACAAACGCUCAGGAUGUGACAAUGGAUAACCUGCAACCAAGCGCUACAGCCCCCCGGGCCACGCGUGCAGUUCACAGACUAGAUGUCCGUGGGGGAUCCGUCCCUUAAGAUAUAGUCG
rnacentral:rRNA from 1 species